UACAGAGGUCUCAAGCGUUGUUCGGAUUCAUUGGGCGUAAAGGGUGCGUAGGCGGCGCGGUAAGUCGGGUGUGAAAUCUCGGAGCUUAACUCCGAAACUGCAUUCGAUACUGCCGUGCUUGAGGACUGGAGAGGAGACUGGAAUUUACGGUGUAGCGGUGAAAUGCGUAGAUAUCGUAAGGAAGACCAGUGGCGAAGGCGGGUCUCUGGACAGUUCCUGACACUGA
rnacentral:rRNA from 1 species